AUUGUUUAAGGAUUUUGUCUGAUAAAAUUGGAACGAUACAUAGAAGAUUAGCAUGGCCCUUGCACAAAGAUGACACUGUUUAAGGAGUUUUUCAUGUUUAC